rnacentral:rRNA from 1 species
ACGGGAGGCAGCAGUGGGGAAUAUUGGGCAAUGGGCGAAAGCCUGACCCAGCAACGCCGCGUGAAGGAAGAAGGUCUUCGGAUUGUAAACUUCUUUUAUGUGGGACGAACAAAUGACGGUACCACAUGAAUAAGCCACGGCUAACUACGUGCCAGCAGCCGCGGUAAUACGUAGGGGGCAAGCGUUAUCCGGAUUUACUGGGUGUAAAGGGUGCGUAGACGGCUGUGCAAGUCAGAAGUGAAAUCCCGGGGCUUAACCCCGGUGCUGCUUUUGAAACUGUACGGCUAGAGUGCUGGAGGGGCAAGCGGAAUUCCUGGUGUAGCGGUGAAAUGCGUAGAUAUCAGGAGGAACACCGGUGGCGAAGGCGGCUUGCUGGACAGUAACUGACGUUGAGGCACGAAAGCGUGGGGAGCAAACAGGAUUAGAUACCCUGGUA